GUCUAAUGUCUCCAUUUGGAGAAUUUUAAACUAUCAAAGCAUAUACUCUACACAACUAGAGCAGUUUUAGAUGACGAUUUUAUUCACUGAUCUAUAACUGAUGACAAAACAACCAAAUAUGUAAUAGUAUAGACAUGAAUAAAUUGAGACCAAAAUGACUUAGACAUUCCAGAUUGCCAUGAUAUAUUUUAAAUGGCACUAUAACUAUAAAUUCAGAGUGUUCAGAAGAACUUUCUAGGCCUCUCAUAAACCCACCAUUCCUAGGAAUGUUCUGAUCAAAUGUCUGAGAGAGGCAACCAAAUUCUGAACUCCCUUUUUGUGACCUUACAAAAGCUGCCAAGAAAGAGCCACAACUUUGCUUUAUAGUAGUGGUUUAUUUUCCAUUUCUUUUCCAUUUGAUUAGCACUGGAGUUGAGAUUGCAAAUUACAUGAGUUAUGGUUCAGGGAUAGAAAAUAUAGCAGAAAUGAUCAAAUGAAUUGGUGGGCACAAUUACUUUCUAAAAUUGAAAUAGGGGUUUAAUUUAUUGUUGACUAGAGACAGAAUUACCUAUUGUGUAUAGAAGUAUUGUACUUUAUUUUUUCCUUCAUGCAUUAUGUAUUUUUAAAAAGUCUCUUGUUCUAAUUGUAUAAAAACUGAUAUAGAGUUUUUUAAAAUGCUUAAAAUUACAAAGUAUUUUUACAUUAAUUUGCUGGUAAUUCCAAAUUGGUACCAAGCAAACUUUCUGGAACUCUGACUUACAUUUUUCAGUGACUACUUUUUAGAAUAUUUAUUAAAUAACUUUACUAC
rnacentral:lncRNA from 1 species